CCUUGUUUUUAAAGGGGUGGCGCACCGCACAGCUCACUAUAGAACCGGGACACAAUUAUUCCUUCGUUAUACAUGUAAUUUCGUUGUAAAGGCGUUCCUUGUAGAGACGCUC
rnacentral:lncRNA from 1 species